rnacentral:rRNA from 1 species
GGUUGCGAUCAUACCAGCACUAAUGCACCGGAUCCCAUCAGAACUCCGCAGUUAAGCGUGCUUGGGCGGGAGUAGUACUAGGAUGGGUGACCCCCUGGGAAGUCCUCGUGUUGCAACCCC